UGUGGUUUGGGUUUUAGUGAUUGGGUUUGGGUUUGGAGGAUGGGCUAGCAUGACCAACUUUAUAAGGCAAAUUGACACAUUUGGGCUUUUUGCCAAGUGCUACCAGUGCAAACCCCCAACGCCGCCACUUGCCACCGCUGCACCUGCCUCUCAUGCCCACCAUCAGAGCCGAGCCUUCUCACUCAACUCUACACAAUAUUAGAGCUCAGCUAGCUACAGUCACAUUCCCUUUCAUUACUUGUAUUAUACAUGGGUGAGACCCGCACACCCCCCCCCCCCCCCCCCCCUCCCCCCCCCUCCCCCUGCCUCUCAUGCCCACCAUCAGAGCCGAGCCUUCUCACUCAACUCUACACAAUAUUAGAGCUCAGCUAGCUACAGUCACAUUCCCUUUCAUUACUUGUAUUAUACAUGGGUGAGAGAGAGUGCUAAAUAGUAAAUACUCCUCCCCUUAAUUUUAUGUCUGCUGGGCCUGGGUGGG
rnacentral:lncRNA from 1 species